GACGAACGCUGGCGGCGUGCUUAACACAUGCAAGUCGAACGGACAGGCCCUGCUUUUGUUGGGUUCUCGUUUGCCGAACGCGGGAGUAACACGUGAGUAACCUGCCCUUGACUUUCGGAUAACUUCAGGAGACUGCGGCUCAUAUCCGAGAUGAUCUUCUGCUGCAUGGUGGGGGUUGGAAAAUUACGGCGGUUGGGGAUGGAAUGGCGGCUUAUGAGCUGGUUGGUGGGGUAGUUGAUGUCCACGGCUUCGACGGGUAGCCGGCCUAGGAGGGUGAACGGCCACCAUGGGACUGAGAGACGGAGCAGACUCCUACGGGAGGCAGCAGUGGGGAAUAUUGCAGAAUGGGCGGAAGCCUGAUGCAGCGACGCCGCGUGCGGGAUGACGGCUUUCGGGUUGUAAACCGCUUUCGACUGUGACGAAGCGUGAGUGACGGUAAUGGGUAAAGAAGCACCGGCUAACUACGUG
rnacentral:rRNA from 1 species